CCAGGUCUUUCUCUGCCUCUGUGGUGGAUAGUGGAGUGUUUCCCAUGUGGUAUUGGUGUGCUGGAUAUCCCUUCACUGGUAGCCUGGUAACAUACACUCCCAGGUCUUUCUCUGCCUCUGUGGUGGAUAGUGGAGUGUUUCCCAUGUGGUAUUGGUGUGCUAGAUAUCCCUUCACUGGUAGCCUGGUAACAUACACUCCCAGGUCUUUCUCUGCCUCUGUGGUGGAUAGUGGAGUGUUUCCCAUGUGGUAUUGGUGUGCUGGAUAUCCCUUCACUGGUAGCCUGGUUACAUACACUCCCAGGUCUUUCUCUGCCUCUGUGGUGGAUAGUGGAGUGUUUCCCAUGUGGUAUUGGUGUGCUGGAUAUCCCUUCACUGGUAGCCUGGUAACAUACACUCCCAUGUCUUUCUCUGCCUCUGUGGUGGAUAGUGGAGUGUUUCCCAUGUGGUAUUGGUGUGCUGGAUAUCCCUUCACUGGUAGCCUGGUAACAUACACUCCCAGGUCUUUCUCUGCCUCUGUGGUGGAUAGUGGAGUGUUUCCCAUGUGGUAUUGGUGUGCUGGAUAUCCCUUCACUGGUAGCCUGGUAACAUACACUCCCAGGUCUUUCUCUGCCUCUGUGGUGGAUAGUGGAGUGUUUCCCAUGUGGUAUUGGUGUGCUGGAUAUCCCUUCACUGGUAGCCUGGUAACAUACACUCCCAGGUCUUUCUCUGCCUCUGUGGUGGAUAGUGGUGUUUCCCAUGUGGUAUUGGUGUGCUGGAUAUCCCUUCACUGGUAGCCUGGUAACAUACACUCCCAGGUCUUUCUCUGCCUCUGUGGUGGAUAGUGGAGUGUUUCCCAUGUGGUAUUGGUGUGCUGGAUAUCCCUUCACUGGUAGCCUGGUAACAUACACUCCCAGGUCUUUCUCUGCCUCUGUGGUGGAUAGUGGAGUGUUUCCAUGUGGUAUUGGUGUGCUGGAUAUCCCUUCACUGGUAGCCUGGUAACAUACACUCCCAGGUCUUUCUCUGCCUCUGUGGUGGAUAGUGGAGUGUUUCCCAUGUGGUAUUGGUGUGCUGGAUAUCCCUUCACUGGUAGCCUGGUAACAUACACUCCCAGGUCUUUCUCUGCCUCUGUGGUGGAUAGUGGAGUGUUCCCAUGUGGUAUUGGUGUGCUGGAUAUCCCUUCACUGGUAGCCUGGUAACAUACACUCUCAGGUCUUUCUCUGCCUCUGUGGUGGAUAGUGGAGUGUUUCCCAUGUGGUAUUGGUGUGCUGGAUAUCCCUUCACUGGUAGCCUGGUAACAUACACUCCCAGGUCUUUCUCUGCCUCUGUGGUGGAUAGUGGAGUGUUUCCCAUGUGGUAUUGGUGUGCUGGAUAUCCCUUCACUGGUAGCCUGGUAACAUACACUCCCAGGUCUUUCUCUGCCUCUGUGGUGGAUAGUGGAGUGUUUCCCAUGUGGUAUUGGUGUGCUGGAUAUCCCCUCCCAAGGUGCAGAACUUUACAUUUUUCAUCAUUGCAUUGUAGCAGCCACUAUUUAUUCCACUCCUACAGCUUGGUGAUGUCUUCUUGUAGGAAAUCCACAGUCAAGGGGUUAAAAAUAGGCCUUUCUGACAAACUGUUGCAAUUUUUAUAACACUCUUACUUCCCUUAUAAGAUUAUAUUACGUUGUUUGUCUGUCCACAACACAAGUCCUACAGCAAUACUUCCUCUCCACAACACAAGUCCUACAGCAAUACUUCCUCUCCACAACACAAGUCCUACAGCAAUACUUCCUCUCCACAACACAAGUCCUACAGCAAUACUUCCUCUCCACAACACAAGUCCUACAGCAAUACUUCCUCUCCACAACACAAGUCCUAUAGCAAUACUUCCUCUCCAUAACACAAGUCCUACAGCAAUACUUCCUCUCCACAACACAAGUCCUACAGCAAUACAAGGAUCGUAAUGUUACGUCUAUGUAAAGACGAGAAAUAAGCAAACAGUGAGUGCUGGGCUGACGUAACCUUGCCUCGACGUACAGAGAUCAAAGUGUGAAUUGAAGUUACUUAUACAAACAUCUCGUAAGUAAGGUUGACAAAUUAUAUUCCAUCAGUUUAAAUGACAUAAUCUUCCCUAUACAUACAGAGAUCACAGUAACAUAUGACAAAUAAAAUGAAUUGUGGUUACUUAUACAAACAUACCAGUGAAUUGAGGUUACUUAUACAUACACCUCGCAGGUUAAGGUUGACAUAACUUAUAUAUCGUUAGUUUAAGAGACGUAAUCUUGCCUAUACGUACAGAGAUCAAAAUAACAUAUCUCGAGGGUAGGGUUCACGUAACUUGUAUUUCGUUAGUUUAAGGUUACGUAUACUUACAAUAACGUUGUAAAGAGGGAAAGAAUAAAGGAAAGAAAGAAGGUGUGUCGAAAGGUCAUCUUAUCGCCUACAAACACCUAGAGACAAACAUUGGGGUGAGGGAGGGAGGGAAGGGUAGCACACACACACACACACACACACACACACACACACA